rnacentral:tRNA from 1 species
CUAAGAUAGUUUAAUAAAACAUUAGGCCGUGAUCCUAACAAUAGAACUUCUGUUCUUCCUAGCC